UGGGAGACUGUGAAGUGCAAAGCAGCUGGAGUCCAGGCCCUCGGGGAGACAGCACGCCAGUGAGGGAGACGGAGACCAAUCACCCACCCAGUGUGCGGGGAUGAGAAGCUCGGGAAGGUCUGACCAGCCUUACGUCUUGAAAGGGAACCCCCUGCUUCUGCGUGUCAGGUGUUACUCGGGGUACGCCAGUGGAAGCGGGAGGCAGUUGCAGCUUUCAGUUAGAACAACACUGGAUUGGCAAGAGGGAGACUGAGGCGGGAACCCAGGCAGAGGCUGCUGUGAGUCCAGCUAGGAUGAGACGUGGGUGCCAGGCAGUGGGCCUGGGGCAGGCCCCAGGGACUCCGCAGUGAAGACCCCACCUCAGUGAUCCUGGGCCCCAGGCCUCAAGAGACUUGGGGCAGCUCCCAAAGCAGCAAGAGGGGUCCUGUCAUCGUGAGGCGUGUUGAGGAUCCAGAAGCUGUGGUUUCAUAACUCCGUCACUGUGUGGUGUCUGAAAGCCAUUUCAUUAAAUGUCACAUGGAAUCAAAAUAGAAAUUACAUCUCUGGGACAAAGCCCAUUGAGCCAGGAGCCAGGGAUUCUGAAUUGGAACCAGAAUAGCCUCCGAAGCUGGGACUGUGGAUCCAAGGCUGCCCCCACCCCCUGGGUCUCGCUCACAUCUGCACUCCCCAGAGGGGGCAGGUGGUCCUGGAGCCUAGCCUACCUGCCGAGAGUCAGAGGUGGCUGCAGGGGAACCAUGGCAGCCCUCCUUCUCACACUCAUCCUGGGCACCCUGCACCAGCAGAAGGGUUUACAUGUAAAAUCAUCCAUCCCUAGCCCCUUCUGGGAGGGAAGCAUAUCUUACGGAUGGCGACCUUGAGGCUCAGGGAGGUUAAGGUGCCAGCCUGAGAUCACACAGCCAGUGAGAGGCAGAGACAGGGCUUAAACUCCAAACGAUGGCUCCAGAGCCCCCUCUCUUUUCCAUGCCCUGGGCUGCCUCUUUCCCCAGUGCACCUUGCUUUUUGGAACCAGAUGACCAAUGUGGAAAGACAUGAACUGAUUCAAUCAGAGUGUAUGGAGAAGGGACUUAGAGACCCUGGCAUUUUUAAAGCUCCCUGGUAAUUCUCAUGUGCAGCUAGGAUGGGGCGCCUCUGCUCUGGGGAAUAGGGAAGGGGUGUAAGUGGCCCUGUGUCUCCCCUCUGUCCCCACCUGCCACCUGCUGGUCCAUCCAUUCAGCCAUUGCACGGACAGGUUGCCUUCUGGGGGCUGCUAGCCCCCUCGCACUGGGCAACGCUGUGUCCCCUCUGUCCCUCCCCCAGCGCAUGCUCCUCGCUCUGCCCCUGCUGCAGGUGGGCCAUGCUUGGAGGGGCGCAGGAGAGCUGAGAUGGGGUGGGGAUGGAUCAGGCCUUGAGGGGGUGCCUGGUAAGCCCCGGGAAGGGUAGGGAGGAGGAGGAGGGAGAGGAGAGGGCAGUGCAAGGGCAGCGACCCCCAGCCUUGCCCCCGUUUUGAGCAUGGGGAAAGUGUACACAGGUAGUGAGGAAAUGCCUGCGUUUGGGUGCAUGUUCAAUUCUAAUCCAUUUUCACUUUUUGUGUAUUCUUUCUAUCUACUUUUUAAAGGUUUGUUUCUUUUCUAACUUCCUGUUUUAGAUGUAUACUUUAGUUUCUUUAUUUUUAUUUUUUUUUUGAGAUGGAGUCUCUGUUGACAGGCUGGAGCGCAGUGGCGUGAUCUUGGCUCACUGCAACCUCUGCCUCCCGGGUUCAAGCGAUUCUCCUGCCUCA